AAACAAUAGAUCAGAUCUAUUACCUUGCAAGUUAGACGCUCUAACCUCGCUGAUCUGAGCUUAAGGAUGAUGUUGCAAGCCGCACAUGCAUCCGGCCUCUAGGAGUCGUCCACACGAGCCCACGAAUCUCGAUCAGAAGUCCUGCUUCAGGAAAUCAGCACAGUAUGCUAGUACUGCGCUGAUCCUUCUUUGAUGGUUGAUCAGGU
rnacentral:lncRNA from 1 species